rnacentral:tRNA from 1 species
CCGACCUUAGUUCAAUUGGUAGAGAGGAGGACUGUAGUAGGGGAAAAUACCUUGAUAGCCAUCCUUAGGUCACUGGUUCAAAUUCGGUAGGUUGGA